rnacentral:SRP_RNA from 1 species
GCUGGGCGUGGUGGCUCACGCCUGUAAUCCCAGCACUUUGGGAGGCUGAGGUGGGCGGAUUGCCUGAGGUCAGGAGUUCAAGACCAGCCUGGCCAACAUGGUGAAACCCCGUCUCUA